UACGGGGGGGCAAGCGUUGUUCGGAAUUACUGGGCGUAAAGGGCACGUAGGUGGCCAACUAAGUCAGACGUGAAAUCCCUCAGCUUAACUGGGGAACUGCGUCUGAUACUGGAUGGCUUGAGUUUGGGAGAGGGAUGCGGAAUUCCAGGUGUAGCGGUGAAAUGCGUAGAUAUCUGGAGGAACACCGGUGGCGAAGGCGGCAUCCUGGACCAACACUGACACUGAGGAGCGAAAGCCAGGGGAGCAAACGGG
rnacentral:rRNA from 1 species